rnacentral:rRNA from 1 species
AACGAACGCUGGCGGCAUGCCUAACACAUGCAAGUCGAACGAGAUCUUCGGGUCUAGAGGCGCACGGGUGCGUAACGCGUGGGAAUCUGCCCUUUGGUUCGGAAUAACAGUUGGAAACGACUGCUAAUACCGGAUGAUGACGAAAGUCCAAAGAUUUAUCGCCAGAGGAUGAGCUCGCGUAGGAUUAGCUAGUUGGUGUGGUAAAGGCGCACCAAGGCGACGAUCCUUAGCUGGUCUGAGAGGAUGAUCAGCCACACUGGGACUGAGACACGGCCCAGACUCCUACGGGAGGCAGCAGUGGGGAAUAUUGGACAAUGGGCGAAAGCCUCAUCCAGCAAUGCCGCGUGAGUGAUGAAGGCCUUAGGGUUGUAAAGCUCUUUUACCCGGGAUGAUAAUGACAGUACCGGGAGAAUAAGCUCCGGCUAACUCCGUGCCAGCCGCCGCAGUAA